CCCAGACUCCUACGGGAGGCAGCGGUGGGGAAUAUUGCACAAUGGGGGAGACCCUGAUGCAGCGACGCCGCGUGAGCGAUGAAGUAUUUCGGUAUGCAAAGCUCUAUCAGCAGGGAAGAAAAUGACGGUACCUGACUAAGAAGCCCCGGCUAACUACGUGCCAGCAGCCGCGGUAAUACGUAGGGGGCAAGCGUUAUCCGGAUUUACUGGGUGUAAAGGGGGCGCAGACGGCAGCGCAAGCCAGGAGUGAAAGCCCGGGGCCCACCCCCGGGACUGCUCUUGGAACUGCGCGGCUGGAGUGCAGGAGGGGCAGGCGGAAUUCCUGGUGUAGCGGUGAAAUGCGUAGAUAUCAGGAGGAACACCGGUGGCGAAGGCGGCCUGCUGGACUGCGACUGACGUUGAGGCCCGAAAGCGUGGGGAGCAAACAGGAUUAGAUCCCCCGGUA
rnacentral:rRNA from 1 species